AACUUUAUAUUCGUUUUCCAGCGAUCACACAAAACACAAUGAAGCUCUAUCUUGGAUUCCUCCUGGCCGUUGUCCUGCCUCUGCUUGUGACUGCUGGCUCCAAGGAACCGAAGCAAGACGAGGCAGCCUCAACAGCAGCACCCUAGACACGCCCUUCGGUCCAAAGGCCUUUUGGUCAAAAUCUGGCGAAGAUCGAGUUUAGAAGCAAAAGUGUGAAGGAUGGAAAUGGCGGAGGAGGAGCAAUGAGGAUCGCGAUAGAAAAGAUGUCCAACAUUUUAGUGAAACUCCUGGCAAUUCUGUUGUCUCCUGUGGACAUCAUAUCCCGACCGAGGUGGCAGGGCAACGGCAACUGGAGCAAGUGGCCAGCGGUAAGCUGGAGACAAAGCGUCCAGCAGCAAAGUGGUGGGCGGGGGGCGGGGCCGAACACAUAGAAAUUUAUAGCACACAUGCUGUAAACAUGUUCAUCAGUUUUUGCUGCUCUGAGUGUCAAGCUCGCCCCGCAAAGGCCGUGGCAGCCAACAACGUGCGCUGCGGUGCGCUCACGUGUUGGGGCACCACACAAAAACAAAGCAGCACCAGCGCAAUGCAGGCAAACGAGAGGCAGCAACAAAACAACAAGAAAUUGUAUUGUAUGCAGCAACAAUUGGCAGCAGCAGUGGCAACCAAACAGCGACUCGACGGCCUGGUAUCCAGCAGGAAGCGCCCCUUGGCUGACUCGUAGGAGUGCGCGUUCUCCCCACCUGCUACCCCUCAAUGGAUACUUGUGAGCGCCGUGGCCCGGUAGCUACAAAUAAUAAAAGGAUGAUAGUCAAAGUUUAAUGACAGUUCAAAUGAUGUUGCCGCCGCUGUGCCAGCUGCGCCCCCUGCAUGCAGCAUCGCUGCUGCUGUUACUGUUGCUGUUGCUGUUGCUGUUGCUGUUGCUUUUGCUGCAUUGCUGCACUUUCCGAUGUGGCAGCAAACAAUUGCACGUUGUUACACUUUCAGAGCACCUCUGGUGGGGCAGGUUACAAUGGGACACACUCGUUGGCGAUGCACAGAAGGGACUUGGGGUAUAUGUGUACCCUGCAGAUGGUCGGAAUAGGUCCUGGAAUAAUCGAUCUACUUGCGUCAUAACCCCUCCCUUUUUGGCAUGUCAACUUUGAUUUUAUAUUCCUCUUUUUUGCUCACCGAUAAAUCAGGAAAGGGCAUCCAAUGUGUCUGGUAAUUGAAAGAAAAAAUUCCUGUCUCUCAUUUUUUAUGCAUUAUUUUUGUGCAUCUCUUUGUUGGCGCUGCUCUGCUGCCGCUGCUCUGCUGAUAUUAUUAUGAUGGCUGCAGGCAACACGAUGUUGCAACAUGCGCUCGAACAUAAUACAUUUUUAUGCAUGAUUUCUCACAUUGCAUGUGAUGGCUGGCACUUGAUGUGCCACAUGGGGCGUAUGCCUGUCGGCCUGCUGAACCCACGACUCCUGACUCCUGACUGCUGACUGCUGAAAUAUGCAUUUAAAUAUUUAAAGUAAUUUGUGUUCAUGGCACACAGACCCAUAAAUAAGGGCUGGAAAAUCCAUCUUGCAGACUGUCUAAAAAUCGAGGAAAAUCUACAGACAGAUGUGUACUUAUGCCAAGAUCAAAAGCGCAGGCAGAGACAUCAAAUAGAAGGACGGAAAAUGCAGGUGCGCUGCCCUACAGUGGGUGGGUUACAACGCACUUCUGUUAUUGUAUGAAGGAUAGUUUGGAAUUUCUAGUUAAAUAAGAUGAGAUCUUGGAAACAGAAAAAUAAUAAAUGAAUCAGUAAUUUUA